GCCAUAAAACAAUUAGGAGAAAGAUCCGAUAGUUAAGAUGUUAGAACUAAAACUGAGAAGAUCUAGUUCGUCGGAUGCGAAAAUACCAAAAGAGAUCCGAAAAAGAGCGAAGAAAAAUAAAGCACACAAUAUUACGUGGUUCGGCCAUCGGCCUACGUCCACGGGCGAAGACGGAGCGGAAAUCUUCAUUAUAAUCAAAGUGGUGUACAAAAUAUGCCUCUCUCACAAAACCCUAAUCCCAAAAAUACACCCAUAUUCUCUCUCUCAUCUUCCGUACUAAAUCAAUAGCAGAAAGGGUAUAUUUAUAAUAGUGGCUAAAUCCUAAUACGAUUAGGAAUACAAAUCCACUAAGAUUAGGAAUAUCUCAAUAAAAUUAGGCAUAAUCUAAACUUAACUUAAUGAGAUAAUCAAAAUAGAAUAGGGAUAGAAAACCUUGCGGUACUAGAAUUCGAGACAUAUCUAACAAUCUCCACCUUGGCUUGAAUUCUCUGUCUUCUCCACCAAAAUCCCAAAAGCUCCUGAAGUGCUACUGCACAUGCGACCAAGUUUACGGAAUACUUGACCUUGAUUGCCGGAAAACUUAAUGAGCAAAUCCGCGAGAUUCUCUGAAGUGCCAAUCUUCUCAUUCUCCAACUACGCCGCCUUUUUGCAACCUCUGUUGCAUCAGAACGACAACUUGUCGUAGAGUGAAAUUGUUGGAGCGAUCAAACUUCUCGAUCUCAAAUUCGUUGACGUCUUAAACACUCAAACGAACACUCUGGCUCUGAUACCAGUUUGUUAGAACUAAAACCGAGAAGAUCUAGUUCGUCGGAUGCGAAAAUACCAAAAGAGAUUUGAGAAAGAGAGAAGAAAAAUAAAGCACACAAUAUUUACGUGGUUCGGCCAACGGCCUAUGUCCACGGGCGAAGACGGAGCGAAAAUCUUCAUUAUAAUCAAAGUGGUGUACAAAAUAUGCCUCUCUCAUAAAAUUCUAAUUCCAAAAAUACACCCAUAUUCUCUCUCUCAUCUUCCGCACUAAAUCAAUAGCAGAAAGGGUAUAUUUAUAAUAGUGGUUAAAUCCUAAUACGAUUAGGAAUACAAACCCACUAAGAUUAGGAAUAUCUCAAUAAAAUUAGGCAUAAUCUAAACUUAACUUAAUGAGAUAAUCAAAAUAGAAUAGGGAUAGAAAACCUUGAGGUACUAGAAUUCAAGACAUAUCUAACAUAAGAAUAUUUACUAUUAAAAAUAUUGUAUAUGGUUUAGUUAUUAA
rnacentral:lncRNA from 1 species